UUUCCGUAGGUGAACCUGCGGAAGGAUCAUUACUGAGUGAGGGCCCUCUGGGUCCAACCUCCCACCCGUGUUUAUUAUACCUUGUUGCUUCGGUGAGCCCGCCUCACGGCCGCCGGGGGGCAUCUGCCCCGGGCCCGCGCCCACCGAAGACACCUAGAACUCUGUAUGAAGAUUGCAGUCUGAGCAAAAACUAAAUAAGUUAAAACUUUCAACAACGGAUCUCUUGGUUCCGACAUCGAUGAAGAACGCAGC
rnacentral:misc_RNA from 1 species